GAUGAACGCUGGCGGCGUGCCUAAUACAUGCAAGUCGAGCGAACGGACGAGAAGCUUGCUUCUCUGAUGUUAGCGGCGGACGGGUGAGUAACACGUGGAUAACCUACCUAUAAGACUGGGAUAACUUCGGGAAACCGGAGCUAAUACCGGAUAAUAUUUUGAACCGCAUGGUUCAAAAGUGAAAGACGGUCUUGCUGUCACUUAUAGAUGGAUCCGCGCUGCAUUAGCUAGUUGGUAAGGUAACGGCUUACCAAGGCAACGAUGCAUAGCCGACCUGAGAGGGUGAUCGGCCACACUGGAACUGAGACACGGUCCAGACUCCUACGGGAGGCAGCAGUAGGGAAUCUUCCGCAAUGGGCGAAAGCCUGACGGAGCAAGGCCGCGUGAGUGAUGAAGGUCUUCGGAUCGUAAAACUCUGUUAUUAGGGAAGAACAUAUGUGUAAGUAACUGUGCACAUCUUGACGGUACCUAAUAAGAAAGCCACGGCUAACUACGUG
rnacentral:rRNA from 1 species